GCAGUCGUGGGUGAGUGGUUAAGGCGAUGGACCAGAAAUCCGUUGGGGUCUCCCCGCACAGGUUCGAAUCCUGUCGACUGCG
rnacentral:tRNA from 2 species